UACGUAGGGGGCGAGCGUUGUCCGGAUUUAUUGGGCGUAAAACGCUUGUAGGCGGCCACCGCGCGUCGGACGUGAAAUCUCCCGGCUCAACUGGGAGGGGUCGUGCGAUACGGCGGGGCUCGAGGCCGGUAGGGGGACGCGGAAUUCCCGGUGUAGUGGUGAAAUGCGUAGAUAUCGUAAGGAAGACCAGUGGCGAAGGCGGGUCUCUGGACAGUUCCUGACGCUGAGGCACGAAGGCCAGGGGAGCAAACGGG
rnacentral:rRNA from 1 species